UGGCAACGUCUCAACUCUUAUUUACAUUUGAAUUUUCCAGAGUAUUAACCUGCUUUUCUUUUGAACUUGUUUGCCUGUUGGAUUUACUGCCUGUCUGAUUUAUCUCCUCUUCUGUUUGGACCAUGACUUUACCAUUGCUACUCGUGGUUUUGAUCGUGCCAGUGCAUGUCAGGAUGUGCAGGCAUGGAGACGAGGAGGUGGACGUAAACGCAGUGUUUAGAGCUGUACCAGUGGACACCAACAUCACUAAAGAGGCUAAUAAGAAUGGGAACUCUCCACCAGUCAUCCAUGUGCAUGAAGUGGGUCAAUCUAUUAUGUGUUUAAUUGAGGACUUCUCCCCAAAAAAGCUCAGUAUUAAGUGGAAAGAGGACAACCAGGAAGUCGAAGGCAUUGACUGGAAAACUACUGAAAAUCCUACAGGCUCUUUCAAAGCUGUCAGUUUGCUUCAAGCCAACCAAACAAGCAUGGACACCAAAUACAGCUGUGAAGUCACACAUGCAGGUUUAACAUAUGUGCAGCAACUCUCAUCUAAAGCUAAGUUCUCUCUAAAGAUUAAUCCACCAUCUGAGAAGAAUCUUUUUGUACAGAAUAAAGCAGUAAUCACCUGUGUCAUAACUGGUGAUAGCAAAAAAGAAGUGGAAGCAGCAAACUUGUCGUGGACAUUUGGAGGACAAACACCUAAUCCCCCAACCAUUGUAACAGAUAAUGUUAAAGAGACGACACCACCAUUUACUAAAACCAGUACAUUGAACAUCAGUGAAUCUGAAUGGUUUUCUGGGUCAGAAGUAAAGUGCUCUACUGAAAGAGAUAAAACACCAUUCUCAGAGAAAAUUAGAGUGAAGAUAGGAGGUGAACGCCCCUCUGUUCUCUUCUACAAACCUGAGAAGCAUGUCUCUGACUCUGAUAAAGUCUCUCUGUUGUGUGAAGUCAGCAGCUCUGAUCUGGGGGAUGUGUACAUCAUGUGGCAAAAGAAUGGUGGUGAAUACAUGGAAGGCAGCAGCACAGUUCACAUCAACAAUAAUACUGUCCUCAGCUACUUAACUGUGUCUGGAAAGGAAUACAACGAUAAGAAAAAUAAGUUCAUUUGUGCAGUCAAAGAUGCCAACAAGGAGAAUGACACCACCCCGAGGAUAAACUCAACAUCCGCGAGUAAACUCCCUCCCUGUCCUGCGUAUCCUUUUUAUGACUAAGAGUUUUCUCAG